CCCUUAGAUGUCCUGGGCCGCACGCGCGUUACACUGAUGCAUUCAACGAGCUUAUAACCUUGGCCGAGAGGCCUGGGCAAUCUUGUUAACGUGCAUCGUGAUAGGGAUAGAUUAUUGAAAUUAUUAAUCUUGAACGAGGAAUUCCUAGUAAACGCAGAUCAUCAAUCUGCAUUGAUUACGUCCCUGCCCUUUGUACACACCGCCCGUCGCAUCUACCGAUUGGAUGGUCCGGUGAAGCCUCGGGAUUGUGGUUCUUGCCGCUUUAUUGUGGCGUGACCGCGAGAACUUGUCUAAACCUUAUCAUCUAGAGGAAGGUGAAGUCGUAACA
rnacentral:rRNA from 1 species